rnacentral:tRNA from 1 species
UGACUCCGUAGCUCAGUUGGUAGAGCAACUGACUCUUAAUCAGUGGGUCGAGAGUUCGAGCCUCUCCGGGGUCACCAU